GACGAUCAAUAAUCUAUUGUUUCUUCCCCAACUCCUCAAAGUAAUCGGUCGUCGUCCCCCCUGCAAAUUCUCAAUUUUUGUUCUUCAAUCUGUGGCCACGUUUCCGGUGACUUGAAAGGCCAAUUGUGUAUUCUCUACUAAAUCAAGGGGACGAGAACGAAGCACUCUCUCUCGGCUCAUCCGUGCGCCGGAAUUUAGCUAACGGCUAACACCGACCGCCUUAAUCGCUUCUCUCGGGUGUUCUGUGGGUACAAUUGGCAUGCCAUAGGACAGCAGCGCUGCAUUAUCUGAGAUAACUCGUCUUCUGGAUAACCGAAGCGAUGAUCGUAUGCUAUCUGCCAUCUGAUCUGUCUGAUAUGCACCCUCUUGGGUGGUCUGAUUAUCUGUUAUCUGAUCUGUCUGCACCCUGAAUGGGUGGUCUGUGCGGAGUCCUCUCGAGGACAAAAUUUGUGUCUGCAUCUGAUUCUGUUUCUGAUCUUGUCCGCGAACCCUAGUUUAUCACUAAGCACUUUAAGGGGCUAUACUUGUUAUGAUUGUGAUUUAUGUGAUGCGUAGGUGUGUUGAUAUGUGGAUAAAAAUAUAGUAUGUGUUUUGAUAUGUGAGAAUAUCAAUGACUGGUAUAUGUGUUUCUAUGCAUGAUAAUGUGCGAACUAGCAUAUGUGAUCAAACAAGUAAUAAUGUGUGAAUACAUGGAAUAUGUAUAUGGUAACUUUGGUACCCCGUGCUGAUAUAUGGAGUGUGAUUAGAUCUCGUUA